GCUGCUUUUGUGCCUUGAUAGAAGUCAUCAACAGUAGUCAUUCCUUGGUAGGGCUUUUGUAGGUAAGUGUUGACAUCUAUUCCCCCAGGGAUAACCAUGCGCCCAUUAGCCUCUAUGGUCUUGACUCCUCCAGGAACAAUCAGAUUCUCUCCUAUUUGCUUUAUAAGUCCAUCUUCCAGGUAUAGGUCCGCAUAGAAGGAGUGGUCAUCAUUGAUAAUUCUUCCACCUUUAAUGAGUAGUCGGUCACUCGUGAUGUGGGGGAUGCUCUUCUUGCCCUGGUACGACAUGUCGGCUCCCGCCCGGAACGCGCCCCGAAGAGCGAAAGAAAAAUAACGGUGGGGAUAACGGGAAUA
rnacentral:lncRNA from 1 species